rnacentral:rRNA from 1 species
UGCCAGCCGCCGCGGUAAUACGAAGGGUGCGAGCGUUGUUCGGAAUUAUUGGGCGUAAAGCGCGUGUAGGCGGUUCGUUAAGUCUGAUGUGAAAGCCCGGGGCUCAACCCCGGAAGUGCAUUGGAAACUGGCGAGCUUGAGUAUUGGAGGGGGUGGUGGAAUUCCCGGUGUAGAGGUGAAAUUCGUAGAUAUCGGGAGGAAUACCGGUGGCGAAGGCGACAACCUGGACAAAUACUGACGCUGAGGUGCGAAAGCGUGGGGAGCAAACAGGAUUAGAUA